rnacentral:rRNA from 1 species
GAUUUCUGGAGUGAUCUGCCUGGCCCGCUCCCCACGGGGCGUGAGUGCCGGUGUGCUUCCUCCAUCCUUCUAGAAAGCCAUGCCUACUCUUCACUGAGCUGGGUAUGUGCGUUCUAGAUCGUUUACUUUGAAAAAAUUAGAGUGUUUAAAGCAGGCUUACGCUGUGAAUACAUUAGCAUGGAAUAAUAAUAUAGGACUUCGGUUCUAUUUUGUUGGUUUCUAGAGCUGAAGUAAUGAUUGAUAGGGAUAGUUGGGGGUGCUAGUAUUCCGUGGCCAGAGGUGAAAUUCUUGGAUUCACGGAAGACUAACUACUGCGAAAGCAUU